AGUGAACGUUGGCGGCGUGGAUUAGGCAUGCAAGUCGAGCGAUCGUAGCAAUACGGGAGCGGCAAACGGGGUAGGAAUACAUCGGAACGUACCUUUUGGUUGAGAAUAGCGUUGGGAAACUGACGGUAAUACUCAAUAAAGUCGAGAGACCAAAGGUUUACUGCCGGAAGAGCGGCCGAUGCGAUAUUAGGUAGUUGGUGGGGUAAUGGCCUACCAAGCCUGAGAUGUCUAGGGGGUGUGAGAGCAUGGCCCCACCACUGGGACUGAGAUACUGCCCAGACACCUACGGGUGGCUGCAGUCGAGGAUCUUCGUCAAUGGGCGAAAGCCUGAACGAGCGACGCCGCGUGCGGGAUGAAGGCCCUUGGGUUGUAAACCGCUGUCAGGGGGGAUGAAACCGUAAGGUUGACAGAGCCCCAGAGGAAGCACGGGCUAAAGUUCGUGCCAGCAGCCGCGGUAAU
rnacentral:rRNA from 1 species